rnacentral:sRNA from 1 species
GCACUCCAAAAGACGAGCCCCGUUGGCCG